UUGUUAGAAUCAGCACACACAAUGAAUGAAGCUGCUGGUUUGCAAUUCAGUUAUGAAGCUGCUUCUCAUAAAAGGAAACAAAGUCCCCCAACUUUCAGAAAGACGACUGAACAAGUCACAAAAAGGCAAAGACUGAUUAUCAGGAUAAGGCAGAUCCCCAGAGAGAAUGGGAGAAGCAAGAGAUGCUGGUGGAGAAGCUGC